rnacentral:rRNA from 1 species
CCUACGGGAGGCAGCAGUGGGGAAUUUUUCGCAAUGGGGGAAAACCUGACUCAUCAACGCCGCGUGAGUGAAGAAGGUCUUCGGGUCGUAAAGCUCUGUCAGGCGGGAAGAAAUAAACAUGGUUUAAUAUCCUAAGUACUUGACGGUACCUCCAGAGGAAGCUCCGGCUAACUCCGUA